rnacentral:rRNA from 1 species
UACGGAGGGUGCAAGCGUUAAUCGGAAUUACUGGGCGUAAAGCGCACGCAGGUGGCUGAGUCAGUCGAUUGUGAAAGCCCUGGGCUUAACCUGGGAAUUGCAGUCGAUACUACUCAGCUAGAGUAUGGGAGAGGGCAGUGGAAUUCCUGGUGUAGCGGUGAAAUGCGCAGAUAUCAGGAAGAACACCAAUGGCGAAGGCAGCUCUCUGGGACGGUACUGACACUGAGACGCGAAAGCGUGGGGAGCGAACAGG